rnacentral:rRNA from 1 species
UAUUUGAGAGUUUGAUCCUGGCUCAGGAUGAACGCUGGCGGCGUGCCUAACACAUGCAAGUUGAGCGAUUUACUUCGGUAAAGAGCGGCGGACGGGUGAGUAACGCGUGGGUAACCUACCCUGUACACACGGAUAACAUACCGAAAGGUAUGCUAAUACGGGAUAAUAUAUUUGAGAGGCAUCUCUUGAAUAUCAAAGGUGAGCCAGUACAGGAUGGACCCGCGUCUGAUUAGCUAGUUGGUAAGGUAACGGCUUACCAAGGCGACGAUCAGUAGCCGACCUGAGAGGGUGAUCGGCCACAUUGGAACUGAGACACGGUCCAAACUCCUACGGGAGGCAGCAGUGGGGAAUAUUGCACAAUGGGCGAAAGCCUGAUGCAGCAACGCCGCGUGAGUGAUGAAGGCCUUCGGGUCGUAAAACUCUGUCCUCAAGGAAGAUAAUGACGGUACUUGAGGAGGAAGCCCCGGCUAACUACGUGCCAGCAGCCGCGGUAAUACGUAGGGGGCUAGCGUUAUCCGGAUUUACUGGGCGUAAAGGGUGCGUAGGCGGUCUUUCAAGUCAGGAGUGAAAGGCUACG